GUGGGGAAUAUUGGACAAUGGGCGCAAGCCUGAUCCAGCCACGCCGCGUGUGUGAUGAAGGUCUUCGGAUCGUAAAGCACUGUGGAGAGGGAAGAACGAGUGGUGGGAACAAUACCCCGCCACAGUGACGGUACCUCUUUAGCAAGCACCGGCUAACUCCGUGCCAGCAGCCGCGGUAAUACGGAGGGUGCAAACGUUGCUCGGAAUCAUUGGGCGUAAAGCGCGUGUAGGCGGCACGCUAAGUCGAGUGUGAAAGCCCUGGGCUCAACCCAGGAAGUGCGCUCGAAACUGGCGAGCUUGAGUACGGGAGAGGGUAGUGGAAUUCCCGGUGUAGAGGUGAAAUUCGUAGAUAUCGGGAGGAACACCAGUGGCGAAGGCGGCUACCUGGACCGAUACUGACGCUGAGACGCGAAAGCGUGGGUAGCAAACAGGAUUAGAAACCCGUGUAGUCC
rnacentral:rRNA from 1 species